UACGUAGGGGGCAAGCGUUGUCCGGAAUCAUUGGGCGUAAAGAGCGUGUAGGCGGCUCGGUAAGUCCGCUGUGAAAGUCCAGGGCUCAACCCUGGAAUGCCGGUGGAAACUGUCGAGCUAGAGUCCGGAAGAGGCGAGUGGAAUUCCUGGUGUAGCGGUGAAAUGCGCAGAUAUCAGGAGGAACACCAAUGGCGAAGGCAGCUCGCUGGGACGGUACUGACGCUGAGACGCGAAAGCGUGGGAGCAAACGGG
rnacentral:rRNA from 1 species